rnacentral:lncRNA from 1 species
AUUUUCUUAGUGGUUACCUGAAGAUUACAAAUCUGUGUAAACAUGCAUACAUCUUCACCGCUAUCUGUAUAAACAUGGAAAUAUCUACACAGCUAUCUGUAUGAACACGGAAAUAUCUACACCGCUAUCUGUUUGAACAUGGAAAUAUCUACACCGCUAUCUGCAUGAAAAUGGAAAAAAUGGAAAUAUCUACACAGCUAUCUGNNNNNNNNNNCAGAUAGCUGUGUAGAUAUUUCCAUUUUCAUGCAGAUAGCGGUGUAGAUAUUUCCAUGUGUAAAGAGAUAGCUUUGUAGAUAUUUCCAUGUAUAUGCAGAUAGCUGUGUAGAUAUUUCCAUUUUCAUGCAGAUAGCGGUGUAGAUAUUUCCAUGUUCAAACAGAUAGCGGUGUAGAUAUUUCCGUGUUCAUACAGAUAGCUGUGUAGAUAUUUCCAUGUUUAUACAGAUAGCGGUGAAGAUGUAUGCAUGUUUACACAGAUAGAGGUGUAGAUAUUUCCAUGUUCAUACAGAUAGCGUUGUAGCUAUUU